rnacentral:rRNA from 2 species
CGGGGGGGCGCGCUUAAUAAUGCAAGUCGAGCGAACAGAAAAGGAGCUUGCUCCUUUGACGUUAGCGGCGGACGGGUGAGUAACACGUGGGCAACCUACCCUAUAGUUUGGGAUAACUCCGGGAAACCGGGGCUAAUACCGAAUAAUCUCUUUUGCUUCAUGGUAAAAGACUGAAAGACGGUUUCGGCUGUCGCUAUAGGAUGGGCCCGCGGCGCAUUAGCUAGUUGGUGAGGUAACGGCUCACCAAGGCGACGAUGCGUAGCCGACCUGAGAGGGUGAUCGGCCACACUGGGACUGAAACACGGCCCAAACUCCUACGGGAGGCAGCAGUAGGGAAUCUUCCACAAUGGGCGAAAGCCUGAUGGAGCAACGCCGCGUGAGUGAAGAAGGUUUUCGGAUCGUAAAACUCUGUUGUAAGGGAAAAACAAGUACAGUAGUAACUGGCUGUACCUUGACGGUACCUUAUUAAAAAGCCACGGCUAACUACGUGCCAGCAGCCGCGGUAAUACGUAGGUGGCAAGCGUUGUCCGGAAUUAUUGGGCGUAAAGCGCGCGCAGGCGGUCCUUUAAGUCUGAUGUGAAAGCCCACGGCUCAACCGUGGAGGGUCAUUGGAAACUGGGGGACUUGAGUGCAGAAGAGGAAAGUGGAAUUCCAAGUGUAGCGGUGAAAUGCGUAGAGAUUUGGAGGAACACCAGUGGCGAAGGCGACUUUUCUGGUCUGUAACUGACGCUGAGGCGCGAAAGCGUGGGGGAGCAAACAGGAUUAGAUACCCUGGUAGUCCACGCCGUAAACGAUGAGUGCUAGGUGUUAGGGGGUUUCCGCCCCUUAGUGCUGCAGCUAACGCAUAAGCACUCCGGCCUGGGGGAGUACGGUCGCAGACUGAACUCAAGUAUUGACGGUGUCCGCACAGCCGAUGAAGCAUGUGAUUAAUUCCGAAAGCCAAACGGCGAGACAAAU